GACGAACGCUGGCGGCGUGCUUAACACAUGCAAGUCGAACGGAAAGGCCCUGCUUUUGUGGGGUGCUCGAGUGGCGAACGGGUGAGUAACACGUGAGUAUCCUGCCCUUGACUUUGGGAUAUCUUCAGGAAACAGGGGCUAAUACCGGAUAGAAGCUCCUGCUGCAUGGUGGGGGUUGGAAAGUUUCGGCGGUUGGGGAUGGACUCGCGGCUUAUCAGCUUGUUGGUGAGGUAGUUGCUGACCAAGGCUGUGACGGGUAGCCGGCCUGAGAGGGUGACCGGGCACAUUGGGACUGAGAGACGGACCAGACUGCUACGGGAGGCAGCAGUGGGGAACAUUGCACAGUGGGCGGAAGCCUGAUGCAGAGACCCCGCGUGCGGGAUGACGGGCUUCGGGUUGUAAACCGCUGUCUACUUUGACGUAGCGGGAGUGACGGUAAUGGGUAAGGAAGCAACGGCUAACUACGUG
rnacentral:rRNA from 1 species